AGAGUUUGAUCCUGGCUCAGAAUCAACGCUGGCGGCGUGCCUAACACAUGCAAGUCGAACGAGAAAGUGGAGCAAUCCAUGAGUAAAGUGGCGCACGGGUGAGUAACACGUGACUAACCUACCCUUGAGUGGGGGAUAACUUCGGGAAACCGAGGCUAAUACCGCAUAAUACCUACGGGUCAAAGGAGCAAUUCGCUUAAGGAGGGGGUCGCGGCAGAUUAGUUAGUUGGCGGGGUAAUGGCCCACCAAGACAGUGAUCUGUAUCCGGCCUGAGAGGGCGCACGGACACACUGGAACUGAAACACGGUCCAGACUCCUACGGGAGGCAGCAGUGGGGAAUUUUGCGCAAUGGGGGAAACCCUGACGCAGCAACGCCGCGUGGAGGAUGAAGUCCUUCGGGACGUAAACUCCUUUCGAUCGGGACGAUAAUGACGGUACCGAGAGAAGAAGCCCCGGCUAACUUCGUGCCAGCAGCCGCGGUAAUACGAGGGGGGCGAGCGUUGUUCGGAAUUAUUGGGCGUAAAGGGUGCGUAGGCGGUUUGGUAAGUCUGAUGUGAAAUCUAUGGGCUCAACUCAUAGUCUGCAUCGGAAACUGCCGGGCUUGAGUAUGGGAGAGGUGAGUGGAAUUUCCGGUGUAGCGGUGAAAUGCGUAGAUAUCGGAAGGAACACCUGUGGCGAAAGCGGCUCACUGGACCAUAACUGACGCUGAUGCACGAAAGCUAGGGGAGCAAACAGGAUUAGAUACCCUAGUAGUCC
rnacentral:rRNA from 1 species